AUUAGUGUAAAUUACCGGAGUGUGAGUGCCUUAUAUCAUUCGGUCUUGGAAGAUAAACAGGACUGUGCCUGGCUAGUAUUUGGAUGGGAGACCAACUUGGAAGACCAGGGGCUGCUAUCC
rnacentral:rRNA from 12 species